rnacentral:rRNA from 1 species
UACGGAGGGUGCAAGCGUUAAUCGGAAUUACUGGGCGUAAAGCGUGCGUAGGCGGUUCGUUAAGUCUGUUGUGAAAGCCCCGGGCUCAACCUGGGAAUGGCAAUGGAUACUGGCGAGCUAGAGUGUGUCAGAGGAUGGUGGAAUUCCCGGUGUAGCGGUGAAAUGCGUAGAGAUCGGGAGGAACAUCAGUGGCGAAGGCGGCCAUCUGGGACAACACUGACGCUGAGGCACGAAAGCGUGGGGAGCGAUCCGG